CAUCUUCGGGGGUAGAGCACUGUUUCGGCUAGGGGGUCAUCCCGACUUACCAACCCGAUGCAAACUACGAAUACCGAAGAAUGUUAUCACGGGAGACACACGGCGGGUGCUAACGUCCGUCGUGAAGAGGGAAACAACCCAGACCGCCAGCUAAGGUCCCAAAGUCAUGGUUAAGUGGGAAACGAUGUGGGAAGGCACAGACAGCCAGGAUGUUGGCUUAGAAGCAGCCAUCAUUUAAAGAAAGCGUAAUAGCUCACUGGUCGAGUCGGCCUGCGCGGAAGAUGUAACGGGGCUAAACCAUGCACCGAAGCUGCGGCAGCGACACUAUGUGUUGUUGGGUAGGGGAGCGUUCUGUAAGCCUGCGAAGGUGACCUGUGAGGGUUGCUGGAGGUAUCAGAAGUGCGAAUGCUGACAUAAGUAACGAUAAAGCGGGUGAAAAGCCCGCUCGCCGGAAGACCAAGGGUUCCUGUCCAACGUUAAUCGGGGCAGGGUGAGUCGACCCCUAAGGCGAGGCCGAAAGGCGUAGUCGAUGGGAAACAGGUUAAUAUUCCUGUACUUGGUGUUACUGCGAAGGGGGGACGGAGAAGGCUAUGUUAGCCGGGCGACGGUUGUCCCGGUUUAAGCAUGUAGGCUGAUUAUCCAGGCAAAUCCGGAUAAUCAAGGCUGAGGUGUGAUGACGAGGCACUACGGUGCUGAAGUAACAAAUGCCCUGCUUCCAGGAAAAGCCUCUAAGCAUCAGGUAACAUCAAAUCGUACCCCAAACCGACACAGGUGGUCAGGUAGAGAAUACCAAGGCGCUUGAGAGAACUCGGGUGAAGGAACUAGGCAAAAUGGUGCCGUAACUUCGGGAGAAGGCACGCUGGUGUGUAGGUGAAGUCCCUGCGGAUGGAGCUGAGACCAGUCGAAGAUACCAGCUGGCUGCAACUGUUUAUUAAAAACACAGCACUGUGCAAACACGAAAGUGGACGUAUACGGUGUGACGCCUGCCCGGUGCCGGAAGGUUAAUUGAUGGGGUUAUCCGUAAGGAGAAGCUCUUGAUCGAAGCCCCGGUAAACGGCGGCCGUAACUAUAACGGUCCUAAGGUAGCGAAAUUCCUUGUCGGGUAAGUUCCGACCUGCACGAAUGGCGUAAUGAUGGCCAGGCUGUCUCCACCCGAGACUCAGUGAAAUUGAACUCGCUGUGAAGAUGCAGUGUACCCGCGGCAAGACGGAAAGACCCCGUGAACCUUUACUAUAGCUUGACACUGAACAUUGAGCCUUGAUGUGUAGGAUAGGUGGGAGGCUUUGAAGCGUGGACGCCAGUCUGCGUGGAGCCAACCUUGAAAUACCACCCUUUAAUGUUUGAUGUUCUAACGUUGGCCCCUGACCGGGGUUGCGGACAGUGUCUGGUGGGUAGUUUGACUGGGGCGGUCUCCUCCCAAAGCGUAACGGAGGAGCACGAAGGUUAGCUAAUCCUGGUCGGACAUCAGGAGGUUAGUGCAAUGGCAUAAGCUAGCUUGACUGCGAGCGUGACGGCGCGAGCAGGUGCGAAAGCAGGUCAUAGUGAUCCGGUGGUUCUGAAUGGAAGGGCCAUCGCUCAACGGAUAAAAGGUACUCCGGGGAUAACAGGCUGAUACCGCCCAAGAGUUCAUAUCGACGGCGGUGUUUGGCACCUCGAUGUCGGCUCAUCACAUCCUGGGGCUGAAGUAGGUCCCAAGGGUAUGGCUGUUCGCCAUUUAAAGUGGUACGCGAGCUGGGUUUAGAACGUCGUGAGACAGUUCGGUCCCUAUCUGCCGUGGGCGCUGGAGAAUUGAGGGGGGCUGCUCCUAGUACGAGAGGACCGGAGUGGACGCAUCACUGGUGUUCGGGUUGUCAUGCCAAUGGCACUGCCCGGUAGCUAAAUGCGGAAGAGAUAAGUGCUGAAAGCAUCUAAGCACGAAACUUGCCCCGAGAUGAGUUCUCCCUGAGACUUUAAGUCUCCUGAAGGAACGUUGAAGACGACGACGUUGAUAGGCCGGGUGUGUAAGCGCAGCGAUGCGUUGAGCUAACCGGUACUAAUGAACCGUGAGGCUUAACCUUACAACGCCGAAG
rnacentral:rRNA from 1 species